UAGGGAAUUUUCGUCAAUGGGGGUAACCCUGAACGAGCAAUGCCGCGUGAGCGAAGAAGGUCUUCGGAUUGUAAAGCUCUGUUGCCGGGGAAAAAGGAAGGAAAGAGGAAAUGCUUUUCUUUGGAUGGUACCCGGCCAGAAAGUCACGGCUAACUACGUGCC
rnacentral:rRNA from 1 species